rnacentral:rRNA from 1 species
AACGAACGCUGGCGGCAUGCCUAACACAUGCAAGUCGAACGAGACCUUCGGGUCUAGUGGCGCACGGGUGUGUAACGCGUGGGAACCUGCCCUUAGGUUCGGAAUAACUCCCCGAAAGGGGUGCUAAUACCGGAUAAUGUCUUCGGACCAAAGAUUUAUCGCCUUUGGAUGGGCCCGCGUUGGAUUAGCUAGUUGGUAGGGUAAAAGCCUACCAAGGCGACGAUCCAUAGCUGGUCUGAGAGGAUGAUCAGCCACACUGGGACUGAGACACGGCCCAGACUCCUACGGGAGGCAGCAGUGGGGAAUAUUGGACAAUGGGCGAAAGCCUGAUCCAGCAAUGCUGCGUGAGUGAUGAAGGCCUUAGGGUUGUAAAGCUCUUUUACCCGGGAUGAUAAUGACAGUACCGGGAGAAUAAGCUCCGGCUAACUCCGUG